rnacentral:ncRNA from 1 species
UUAGUAUAAGGGCAAACCUAAUGAAAGUUAGGGACGCAAAGCUAGAGGGGCUAAGGAUAAUAAAUCUAGGCCAGCCAGUUGCCGGU